GACGAACGCUGGCGGCGUGCUUAACACAUGCAAGUCGAACGGAAAGGCCCUGCUUUUGUGGGGUGCUCGAGUGGCGAACGGGUGAGUAACACGUGAGUAACCUGCCCUUGACUUUGGGAUAACUUCAGGAAACUGGGGCUAAUACCGGAUAGGAGCUCCUGCUGCAUGGUGGGGGUUGGAAAGUUUCGGCGGUUGGGGAUGGACUCGCGGCUUAUCAGCUUGUUGGGGGGGUAGUGGCUUACCAGGGCUUUGACGGGUAGCCGGCCUGAGAGGUGACCGGCCACAUUGGGACUGAGAUACGGCCCAGACUCCUACGGGAGGCAGCAGUGGGGAAUAUUGCACAAUGGGCGGAAGCCUGAUGCAGCAACGCCGCGUGCGGGAUGACGGCCUUCGGGUUGUAAACCGCUUUCGCCUGUGACGAAGCGUGAGUGACGGUAAUGGGUAAAGAAGCACCGGCUAACUACGUG
rnacentral:rRNA from 1 species